GACGAACGCUGGCGGCGUGCUUAACACAUGCAAGUCGAACGGAAAGGCCCUGCUUUUGUGGGGUGCUCGAGUGGCGAACGGGUGAGUAACACGUGAGUAACCUGCCCUUGACUUUGGGAUAACUUCAGGAAACUGGGGCUAAUACCGGAUAGGAGCUCCUGCUGCAUGGUGGGGGUUGGAAAGUUUCGGCGGUUGGGGAUGGACUCGCGGCUUAUCAGCUUGUUGGUGGGGUAGUGGCUUACCAAGGCUUUGACGGGUAGCCGGCCUGAGAGGGUGACCGGCCACAUUGGGACUGAGAUACGGCCCAGACUCCUACGGGAAGCAGCAGUGGGGAAUAUUGCACAAUGGGCGGAAGCCUGAUGCGGCAACGCCGCGUGCGGGAUGACGGCCUUCGGGUUGUAAACCGCUUUCGCCUGUGACGAAGCGUGAGUGACGGUAAUGGGUAAAGAAGCACCGGCUAACUACGUG
rnacentral:rRNA from 1 species